rnacentral:rRNA from 1 species
UACGAAGGGGGCUAGCGUUGCUCGGAAUCACUGGGCGUAAAGGGUGCGUAGGCGGGUCUUUAAGUCAGGGGUGAAAUCCUGGAGCUCAACUCCGGAACUGCCUUUGAUACUGAGGAUCUUGAGUUCGGGAGAGGUGAGUGGAACUGCGAGUGUAGAGGUGAAAUUCGUAGAUAUUCGCAAGAACACCAGUGGCGAAGGCGGCCAACUGGUCCGGUACUGACGCUGAGGUGCGAAAGCGUGGGGAGCAAACAGG